CACAGGCCAGCCAGGAUACCAGUUCUGGAAGACGAGGGGAUCCCCGUUGGCCCAGCGGGUCCAGCCAGGCCAAGUCAUGGUGGUGGAGUUAGUGGUGGAGGAGAAGUUUUUGCGGAGGCCGACCCAGCAGUCAGAGCAGUUCAACAAGCUGUUGAGGGACAUGAUUUUCUGGCAACUCAAGAAGCAGGAAAGAAAAACCAAGGAACAUAAGGAACAUAAUGUUUAAUUUGUAUUGGUGAUGGUAAUUUAAUUGUAUUGUACUCUAUUAUUUUAUAUGAUUUCAUAGUUUGCUAAUCUCUUAUUAUAAACCUUGUUGUUUCAUGUAUGAGCACCGUGUCCUUCAGCUGAGAACAUAUGGUGAUCCUUUGAUUCUGCUAUCUUUGUGUGAUAGUGUUCAAGGUACCUUUCCCAACAGUUGCUGAGUGUCAUUGUCGGGUGACUCAGCAUAAAAAGGCAGAUCAUUUAUCUCACGAUAGAUGCAGCUAUGAAUGGACAGUUGUGCAGUUGGACAGCUGUAUAUGAAUUAUGGGUCAAAUGUUAGUUUCUAAGGGUUAAGAGAAACAACCCUAAGAGAAACAAAUGUUCUGAGGCAUGAGACUGUAUGACUGAAAUACAACUCGUGAUUUCCAGCAUUCUAUCAGCAGACAGGAGGAGAAUCAAUUUGUAAAUUUCUGAUUGAUAUAACGACAAAUCUCUGAAAGACCUUUUCUUGUUGAAUUCAACAACAUUCAAAUAUUCAAUUUGUUAUUUUAUUGUCAUUUGUAUUUUCUACAUUUUAUUUUUUCUCAAGUGUCUCAUUUCGGUUUAUAUUGACUUUACCUACAAUUCUUGCAAAAAUAUUCUAUGUAUAAAUAUUGUUUGUUUAUGCCA